rnacentral:rRNA from 1 species
GACGAACGCUGGCGGCGUGCCUAAUACAUGCAAGUAGAACGCAGUUGCGAACGGGUGAGUAACGAGUAGGUAACUGCCUGGUAGCGGGGGAUAAAUAUUGGAAACGAUAGCUAAUACCGCAUACUACCAGAUGGACCUGCGUUGUAUUAGCUAGUUGGUGCGGUAACGGCCCACCAAGGCAACGAUACAUAGCCGACCUGGUAAGGGGAACGGGCACACUUGGACUGGGGCACGGCCCAGACUCCUACGGGGAGCAGCAGUAGGGAAUCUUCGGAAAUGGGGUGAACCCUGACCAAGCAACGCCGCGGGAGUGGAGAAGGGUUUCGGAUCGUAAAGCUCUGUUGUUAAGGAAGCGGUACUUAACCAGAAAGGGACGGCUAACUACGUGCCAGCAGCCGCGGUAAUUC